rnacentral:sRNA from 1 species
AGGACGUGCCUUUCAGGCAUCCUCUCCUAAAAACUUUCCGGCCGGUCGUUUUCGAUCGGCCUUUUUUUUCGCCUUG